rnacentral:rRNA from 1 species
CCUACGGGAGACAGCAGUGAGGAAUAUUGGUCAAUGGGCGGGAGCCUGAACCAGCCAAGCCGCGUGAGGGAAGAAGGUACAGCGUAUCGUACACCUCUUUUGUCAGGGAACAAAGGCGGGGACUAGUCCCCGGAUGAGGGUACCUGAAGAAAAAGCAUCGGCUCACUCCGUGCCAGCGGCCGCGGUAGUACGGGGGAUGCGAGCGUUAUCCGGAUUUCUUGGGUUUAUCGGGUGCGCAGGCGGCCUGUUACGUCAGCGGGAAAAGCCCGGGGCUCAACCCCGGCGAGCCGUUGAAACUGGCGGGCUGGAGUUGGAGAGAAGGAAGCGGAAUGCGCGGUGUAGCGGUGAAAUGCUUAGAUAUCGCGCAGAACCCCGAUUGCGAAGGCAGCGUACCGGCUCCACACUGACGCUGAGGCACGAAAGCGUGGGUAUCGAACAGGAUUAGAGACCCUGGUAGUC